UACGUAGGGUGCAAGCGUUUAAUCGGAAUUACUGGGCGUAAAGCGUGCGCAGGCGGUCCGUUAAGACAGAUGUGAAAUCCCCGGGCUCAACCUGGGAACUGCAUUUGUGACUGCAUGGCUAGAGUGCGGCAGAGGGGGGAUGGAAUUCCGCGUGUAGCAGUGAAAUGCGUAGAUAUGCGGAGGAACACCGAUGGCGAAGGCAAUCCCCUGGGCCUGCACUGACGCUCGAUGCACGAAAGCGUGGGGAGCAAACAGG
rnacentral:rRNA from 1 species